UGAACCAAUGUCUGCCAAUGUU
rnacentral:misc_RNA from 1 species